GACGAACCGUGCGAACGUUGUUCGGAAUCACUGGGCUUAAAGGGCGCGUAGGCGGGCUGCCAAGUCCGUAGGUGAAAGCCCCCGGCUCAACCGGGGAAGGGGCCUCGAUACGACCGGCCUGGAGGGGGGUAGGGGGAGCCGGAACUCACGGUGGAGCGGUGAAAUGCGUUGAGAUCGUGAGGAACGCCCGCGGCGAAAGCGGGCUCCUGGGCCCCGCCUGACGCUGAGACGCGAAAGCCAGGGGAGCGAACGGG
rnacentral:rRNA from 1 species